rnacentral:rRNA from 1 species
UACAGAGGGUGCGAGCGUUAAUCGGAAUUACUGGGCGUAAAGGGCGCGUAGGUGGGUUGCUAAGUCGUAUGUGAAAUCCCCGGGCUUAACCUGGGAACUGCAUAUGAUACUGGUGAUCUUGAGUCGUGUAGAGGGAAGUGGAAUUUCCGGUGUAGCGGUGAAAUGCGUAGAUAUCGGGAAGAACACCAGUGGCGAAGGCGGCUUCCUGGACACAGACUGACACUGAGGCGCGAGAGCGUGGGGAGCAAACAGG